AACAUUCUGAAUAUAACUAACUUCCUUCCUUCCUGCCUUCCUCCCUCCCUGCCUUCCCUUCCUUCCUGCCUUCCUUCUUCCUUCCUCCCUUUUUUCUUUUCUCCCUUCCUUCCUUCUUAAUAUGUUUUUGGCCUUUUCUUUAUAUAUGUGGCCUAGCAAUAUCCUGUGUUUGGAAAAGUAUAAACCUAAGGCAUCACCUUUACAGAAAAUAUCUUCCACGGAAACAUCUAAAGGCAAAAAUCCUUCAAAUUCAAAUUUAUCCAAUCAUUUCUUCUGCUUACUACCAUCCUAAAUCAUUUUUCUUUAGUAAGAUCUAUUAGUGUGAAGCUAUUAAGCUAUUAAUGUAUGUAUCAUAUUAAUGUAUUAAGACAUUAAGGCCACAGAUCAGCCCUGGGGUUCAGAGGGAUCCUGACAGCUACUCCUCAAGAUCCUCUCUGUUGUGAUUCAUCCCCCCGGGGCCCUACAGUUUCUCCUUCCUGACUCUUACAUUUCUUUGGAUGGCAUCAUUAUU
rnacentral:lncRNA from 1 species